CUCUCUGGAUGCUCCUUGAGUUCUUCAAAUAUCCACAUGGUUUGAGGAAAGGCUUCAUGUUCCAGGUGAGAGGCAUUGUAGAAUACCAGAUGGAGAAUUAGAAGACCCAAUUUGAAUUCCCUCAAUCACUAACUAACUGUGAUUCUGGGGAAUUAUAGGGCUCAGUAUACUCAUAUGUCAAUGGGAUCAAUAGUACACAGCUGUCUUUAGGGUCAAGAGUAUUAAUGUAUCUGAAGCAGGGUACUUUCUGCAAUUCAGGCUAGUUCUAUGAGAAAUAGGGAUAAAGGACAGAAGAGAGAGAGAGAUCCUGGGCAAACUCCAGGCAGAGGUGCACACAGCCUGCUCACAGACAGGCCUCUCACAUUCCAGCUUCCACAUAUGCACAGAAAGCUGUGAGCUCUAUUCUACACAUCUGCGUAGAUAGUAACUGCCAAGAUAAUUGGUUUUAAAGUCUGUUCCUUAUCUUUUCCCCUGGCAUGCAGGAGCUGUGUGCCUAUGCACACAGAAGAGCAGUGGACAGAGAUAGCAAGACACCACCAUGGUCCGGGAUCAGCUGCUGGCCAAAAUGAGGGGCUACUUUCGGAUCCACAGCCUCCUGGCCCGACAGUGCUUGGCAGAGUUUCUGGGUG
rnacentral:lncRNA from 1 species